rnacentral:rRNA from 1 species
GAUGAACGCUGGCGGCGUGCCUAAUACAUGCAAGUCGAGCGAACAGACGAGGAGCUUGCUCCUUCGACGUUAGCGGCGGACGGGUGAGUAACACGUAGAUAACCUACCUAUAAGACUGGGAUAACUUCGGGAAACCGGAGCUAAUACCGGAUAAUAUUUCGAACCGCAUGGUUCGAUAGUGAAAGAUGGCUUUGCUAUCACUUAUCGAUGGACCUGGGCGGUAUUGGCUAGUUGGUAAGGUCACGGCUUACCAAGGCAACGAUUCGUAGCCGACCGGAGAGGGGGGUCGGCGGCACUGGAAGGGAGACGGGGUCCAGGGUCCUGCGGGAGGGAGCAGUGGGGAAUGGGCGGCAAUGGGCGGGAGCCUGGCGGAGCGAGGGGGCGUGAGAGGUGGAGGUGUUCGGAGCGGGAAACCGGGUUAUGAGGGAAGAACAAACGUGUAAGUAGCCGUGCACGGCGUGACGGUACCGGAUCAGAAAGCCACGGCUAACUACGUG